AAGCAAUAAUACUUUAUUCCAGGUCAACACUUCAACAUACAAACAAGUUACACCAAAGGGUAUUGAACAAAAUUGUAUAUCAAUCAUAUUAAUAAGUGGCAGAAAAGGCCGCUUGUUAUCAGGCCCACUGACUGACGAGCAAGCAAGCGCAUGUUUUCAAUAAAUUGAUUAAAAUAGCAACUGCAGACUGCGGACUUGUGAAACUAGGAAUUACGCUACGUAGUAAUGGGCAAAACCUAGUUCACACUGUAAACUGACCUAUCUGUUAACCGACAUAGCGGUAACACACUUUAAAUCGACACAGCUGUUAACACACUAUAACCGACCUAGCGGUUAACACACUUUAACCGACCUAGCGGUUAACACACUUAAAACGGACCUAGCGGUUAACACACUUUAAACCGACCUAGCGGU
rnacentral:lncRNA from 1 species